rnacentral:misc_RNA from 1 species
GAAGAAGAGUACAUUGAAUGGUUUAGAAAGGCUGGGUUUAUACGUAUCGAAUUGAAAAGAAUUGGCCCAAAAUGGUACCGUGGUGUUCGUCGGCAUGGGUUGAUUAUGGGUUGCUCUGUAACUGGAGUUAAGCCAUUUUCUGGAGAUUCUUCCCUGAAGGUUAGAUGCCUCAUCUCUUAACAUCUGCAUAUUUUUAUGUGAAACUUUGGUGGGAGAAACUACUGAUUUUUUGCUUGAUGUCAUUGUUUAAUUAUUAUUCCACUGGAUUAAUCUAUCAAACACCCAUAAUUGUGUUCCUGUACUUUGUUUAAAAUUUUUUCGAAAUGAUCAUGUUCUUAGAAUCUAUCAGUUGUAUUAAAAUUUACCAAGAAAUCUAUGAUGGUGUUAGGAUUGUUAAUAGAUUUAUGGAGCGUUGAGUUGUUUUUUUCUUAUAUCAUUGGAUUUAGCUUGUAGCAAUACUUUUCCAUCAGCCACUUUGGGUCUUCCAUUUAAGAAUUUUACUAAAAUUUGGUGUACCAGAUUCUCACGUUUAGAAAUUAAAGCCUUUAAGGCAAAAAUCUUCUUGAGACCUCGUCCUAAGGACUGAGUUUGUUUCAACCUGCUGCUUGCAUUGAAUAUUCUACUGCAUUGUAAUUUUCCUGGGGCAAUAUCAGACGUCUUUGAAAUUAAUGAAGGGACAAGAAAAUGGAAUAGCCUUAUGGAAUAAGAAAAACAAGUUCGGAUAAGUUGUAUAAACAAUUCAGUUUUGAGGUUUCAAAAUGAGAGGAAAUUUGGCGCUGUUCUUCUGCUUGUGCUGAGAACUGGAAAAUGUGAUGAUGUCUUUUCUUCCAUAGUUGAUUGAUGAGGGGAAAUGCCAGUUAGUGCGGCUAAGGAAGCAAGAAGAAUAGGUAUAUGGGUUUCCCUUUAUCUAAUCGUGAGAAUGGCAUUCUUUUGCAUUUGACUUCCAUUUAACUUUCUUUCACUUUGAAUGCCCUAAGCAAUUCAAUCUAUGACGACCAACUUUAGAAAAUAAAUAUUGGAUUAACUCCAUCUUUUGUAGUUUCUUUGGUAACACUCUUCAGUUUUAGGCAUAAAGCACUUGGUUAGCAAGCAUAAGGUUUUAUUCUUUGGUCAUUGCAUUAUGGUGAUUUUUUUUUUUUUCCUGUUCCACAUUAAGCUUCAAGUACAACGAAUGUUGCAAAGUUCUUCAUAACUAUUCCAGGGUUCAUUUCACUUUUAAAAUUUAUUAAACGUGAAUAUAUCUUGAUGCAGCUUGGUCCAAAGGCUGAGG